rnacentral:rRNA from 1 species
ACGCUGGCGGCGUGCCUAACACAUGCAAGUCGAACGUGAUUAGAGAGCUUGCUCUCUAUGAAAGUGGCGCACGGGUGAGUAACGCGUAGAUAAUCUGCCUGAUGAUCGGGGAUAACACUUCGAAAGGGGUGCUAAUACCGGAUAAGCUCACGGAGUCCUUGGACUCUGCGAGAAAAGGGGGGGACCUUCGGGCCUUCUGUCAUCAGAUGAGUCUGCGUACCAUUAGCUAGUUGGUAGGGUAAAGGCCUACCAAGGCGACGAUGGUUAGCUGGUCUGAGAGGAUGAUCAGCCACACUGGAACUGAGACACGGUCCAGACUCCUACGGGAGGCAGCAGUGGGGAAUUUUGCGCAAUGGGGGAAACCCUGACGCAGCAACGCCGCGUGAGUGAUGAAGGCUCUUGGGUCGUAAAGCUCUGACAGAGGGAAAGAAAUGUAUUGCGGCUAAUACCUGCGAUACUUGGCGGUACCCUCAAAGGAAGCACCGGCUAACUCCGUGCCAGCAGCCGCGGUAAUACGGGGGGUGCAAGCGUUGUUCGGAUUUAUUGGGCGUAAAGCGCGUGUAGGCGGUUUGGUAAGUCUGAUGUGAAAGCCCUGGGCUCAACCCGGGAAGUGCAUUGGAUACUGUCAGACUUGAAUACGGGAGAGGGCAGUGGAAUUCCUAGUGUAGGAGUGAAAUCCGUAGAUAUUAGGAGGAACACCGGUGGCGAAGGCGGCUGCCUGGACCGAUAUUGACGCUGAGACGCGAAAGCGUGGGUAGCAAACAGGAUUAGAUACCCUGGUAGUCCACGCCGUAAACGAUGAGAACUAGGUGUUGCGGGUAUUGACCCCUGCAGUGCCGUAGCUAACGCAUUAAGUUCUCCGCCUGGGAAGUACGGUCGCAAGACUAAACUUAAAG